GGCCUCCACCCGCCAACCGCCGUCGCUCGUGUAGACAGAUUACGGUUCUUCGCUAACACCGCCCGGCCUGCCGUGCACGUCCACACACACAGACGAAGCAAGCGCACGCACCUGCUGCUGAUUGGAGUUGUUGACAGGUAGGGCCCCCAGCCCAGAUACAUCUGACAGAGCAGUUUGUCAUCUGUGGCCUCCUGUAUGAGGUAGUGGACGUGUCCCUCUAUAGACAGAGGUAGACCCAGCACUUUAUUCCUGCUCUUUAUCACUCCCUGCAGCCGCUGCUCAAUGUCACAGACGUGGGUUUUAGCCUGGCAGAGAAGCGGAGGGUCUCGUUGGCCUGAGCUUUGGAAAGUCCUUUGGCCUGUUUGCUCCACUCCACCAGCGGGUCGUGAAGGAAGGUCUUGAGCACACUUGAGAGGAAGAAAUAAUAAAUAAGUUCAGAAACCUGAGAUGUUGAGAGUUACCUUUGUGCCAGACCAUACACACAGUUAUCUUGAUCAUAUAGCAAGAGUCAAGUGGCAAGAAUAUAAUUAUUUUCCAACCUGGUGAGCGGCUCCCUCUGGUCCCUCAUUAGCCUCAGCGUGACCUCACAGGCCUGUCUGAAGAGGCCUUCGGUGCCCAUGGGUCCCAUGGCGUGGACCAUGUUUUGGGUCAGACGGAAGGGAACGACCUCAGGCACGUCAAACGUCUCCCCCUAGUGGACAGGGAGAGAAGGAGCGUGGAAAGUUGGAACCGAGACAAACCUUGUUGAAGAGGCAGUUGAAGUCGACGUGGACACAUUCCCCGGUGAAAGAGUCAAAGAGGAUAUUUUCUCCGUGUCGAUCUCCCAAGCCGAGGAUAUAGCCCACCAUUGACAUCACGGCGGUGGAGCGGCAGUACGCAGAGCGACUGCUGUACCUGUGAACGAUUGCAGCUUGGUGAGAAUGUGUCGUAGUCCAGCGGUGUUGUUGACCCAUUCGAUGAUGCCACACUCCUCAUUGAGGGGAAUCACAGCGUAGGUGCAGAUGUGCAGCUCCCUCCGCCUCGAUUCGGCAUCUUUACUAUCUUCGAAGCUGUCCAGGUAGGCCCAGUGUCCGGGGAAGGCGUCGUGCUGUGUGUUUGCCCCGCCUGUGGAGGGCAGCGUGGGGAUGAGCACCGACUGCAGAGGGAUCAGAAUCUGGCUGAAGGUCGGCUCCUCCAC